CAACCCAGAAAGGCUCCGACUGCCUCUUUCAAGGUCGGAUACGACACGAGAACAAAUAAAAGGAAAAAGAGAGUGAGAGGAGAAUCCAUAAACAGAUUGCUCAAUGGUCAAUUGGGCAAUGGGGUUUCGUUCUUUUUCCAAAAUUUGUGAAACUGUUGAAAAAGUUUCUGCAUUUUGGAGUAAUGUAAAUAGUCAGCGAAAGGGUAUUUCUAAUUCUGCAAAAGUUGGAGUCCUUUAUUGGGGAUGCUUGGAAACAAGAUUUCUGGAGCACAAGGAGGCUAUUAGGGCAACUGGGUUCGCUGAUUCAAUUGUGCGAGGAAAUAUUUUUUGGAGAUUUAAGGUUCUUUGGAAGCAGUGAGGGUAAUGGGGGUCAGUUGGAUAGAGAUUUUCUUGCACAGUUAAUGGAUUGCUGAUAGGAGAUAAAAAAGAAGAAGAAAAGUUGUUAAAGAGUAAAAAUUAUGGUAAAAAGGUUUAUGAUGCUGGGCCGCAAGGAAGAUGGUAUUCAGGUUCUGCGUCCCAGAAGCAAAUUCUUAUGAGCAGGGUAAACCAGUUCUGCAUCAACCUCCUGUCAGUCAGUCUAUCACCGGCUUUUUCAAACCUGUGUGCUCGGAGGAGUUCCAUUGAGAGUUACAUGAUAUUGACGUAGGACCUGUAUUUGGGACCAAAGUUGUUGAUUUUGUUGUUGUGGCAAAGUUCUUCUUAAUCAGACUCAUGGCCAAUGAUUUGGCAAUUUACCUAGGUGCCUUUGUUGGUAGUUUGGUAGGUUCUAAGUCAAUUAAAAACAAUCAUCUGUUCACCUGAGUUGCCAGACCAAUGCUAAUGUGAUAUGAACCUGCUGUUGCUGCCGAAGAUUGCUGCUGGAUGUUCCUGCUAUUUCCUGCUCAAGUGCUAGUGUUGCCGUGUUUAUGCUCAAGAACAAAAAUAAUAGAAGGACUAGGAUAAAAUGUAUUCUGUACUAAUUGAAAUUGUAAAUACUCAAUGCAGCAGUGUAAUGGAAAGUUUCUUAUAUUAGUAGAUGAAGUUCAGACUUACAGUAACUGUUCUUGCUGAUAGUAUCACUCUCUCAACUAACAUAACACGAAACAAACCAACAGAGAAUCAACAUCAAAAGAUAAACCCAAAUUCCAGCAUUCGAGAGGCUGGUCUCUCCCUUCCUUCUACUUGACUGAUUUCUCCCUACCCUCUUCUGCAUCCCCUAUGUCUCCUUUACCAUGCUUCCCAUAGUCAACUCUCUUGUCUCCUGCUGCAAUAUCAACCA